CAGGUAUUCUAAGACUUACCUUAAGCCCGGGGGAGAGGAUCUGUUGCUGGUUUAUCUGAAUCACUGCAAUAGCAAUGACAAGAAUAACGCUUAGAAGGAGGAAUGCUUGGGCAACAACACUUGGCGUUCUGGUCCCAGUCUGCUCCUUUCCCACAGCGCCUACAAGUAGAUGCAUGCUCACCAGCUCCCAUUGCCUCAGGAAAUGAGAGCAUUGGGCAUGCUGGGGCUAGUGCACACUCAGCGAUCCCACAUAUGCCUACAACACGGGGACAGCCACAGCCAUGCAGGCACAAUGCUGGUGGCUGCUGAGCACUGCUGGAUGCUUCUGCCAGAGUUGUAAGGGGUUGAGGAGGAAAGGGGUGGCUGAUGGCAAACAGCAAGCUUAGGAGUGCCAGAGGAACACAAGAAUGAGAACUUCCCUGCCUUUCUCAUACUCAGAAACCACUUCUUUUGGCACAGAAAUAACAAGCUAUUCUGGUGUGAUCUAUCCUGACUCCCAUCUCCUAAUUCUUCCAUACCAACAGUGGAG
rnacentral:lncRNA from 1 species